GUGAGCCUAAUCCCUCGCUUCUACCAUCGCUCUUUCAACCUUCGAUCUCCUCUCCUCAACUCUAGCCCUCUCCUAUUCAGCCCUUUGGAAUUGAUGCUCAGCCUGCUUCAACCUUUCGCUAGUAGGAGCUGGUGUUGUCCAUGGGCAUCCAAAUGGCAUCGAUUCCCUAUAAGCAGAAAGAGGAUCAAUUUGACCAGCUACUGAAAAACUCAAAAUAUUAAAACUCAUAUUCUUAUCUCCAUGGAGGUGUGGCAUAAUGAGGAGAUGGCACUCUCAACUGACCUCAUCUGCUCCUCUUCCUUGUUAGGGAGGAGUCCUCUAACCAUCUCCUAGGUUAUUUGAGGAUCUGGUGGAGCACCAAGUCGAAAACUUUGAUCUACUAGUUAGGUCAGAAUAUCACCG
rnacentral:lncRNA from 1 species